CCGCGCAGAGAACCAAAUACCCGCCCCAUUGUUCUCCACCAUCUUUAGCAUCUUCAAAACUUGAACACCAAAAACAACACACACCCAUAUAAACGCACACACAACUAAACCAACCAGAAAAUCUGGGCAUGAAAAUUGAUUGAAGAAAAGUUGGUUUAGGUUCUAAUUCCAGUUGCUGAUUGUUAGAUUUUUGUUGCUGCUAUGAUUGGUUGAGACGCGGCUGAGUCGAAGCUGUUUUGUUUCCAGUUCGAGUUCCAUCUAGAGGUCAUCGGAUUGAGUGCUUUUAUUUUCCAUGUAAGAAAAUUGUUAUGGGAGAUCUGAAAGUCUGUUCGAGUCAAGGAUGUUGUUUGAGUUGCUGGACCGCUAGUUCUGUUUCUUCACUGAAAUUCCACAUUGGAAAUUCUUGAUUAUUGUGAAAGGAAAAUUUUCUCAUUAAGGUAUGUUUUUCUUGAUUUUCAUUCUAUUCUCAUCUCGUCACAGUAGCUUGAAGAGUGUUUGGCAUAACUUGUGAUUUUCUUUAUUUUAUUUUUAACUAGCAUAUCUUAACUUUCGUUAGGUACCUUUAAUUAGUUUAUCUAUUUUGUGAUGUAUAUGACCUUUGUUCUUGGAUGAAUGUAUUAUAAUGGUUCGAUAAAUUAACUUAGCAAGUUAGUGGUUAGUGCUAGAAUAUUUAAUAAGCUAAUGGAAUUUAUUUGUUAAAUAAUAAGGAUACUUCCAUACUUCCAUCAUUCACAUUGGGGAGUUAGGGAAGAAAGGUAGCUAAUGUUAUGAGUAUACACUGACUUGGAUGCAUGUUUUUUUUUUUGCAAUUCACUAUGCAGGCGCCUAGGGUUAGAUUUCAUUAAUAAUUGAAAAGAAAAUUAUAACAAUUAGGAGAAGUAAAAUAAGGGAUAGCAACGAUGUUGUUACCCAUAUAACACAACCGGCGUAACCGUACCUUACUAAUCCUAUUGAGGCAAAUAAAAAGCCUCACCUACUAGCAAGCAUGUAAAAAGAAAGAACUAGCAAGAACUAAGAACAGUAUGAUCAUCAUAGAGUUUAUAACGUACUCUGUAAUGAUAUUACAUAUUAUAAGACUAAUGUGAUGGUAAAAUAAGAGGAUGAAAAAACUACGUUGAUGCUCUCUUUUCUCUAAAUUUGUGAAUACUUCCAUUUGUAGAUUGUUGUCUUUGCCCACAGAUUUAAAAGUCUUCAAAAUUCAUGUUUUUUCUUUAAGCGAUUGGAAUUUGUAGAUAUUGUUUGAGUGACCUGUUUUUGUUUUGCAUUUCUCAUUGGGGGCCUCCUUAUGUUUGCGUCUUCAAUCACCAUGGUGUCCCAACUUCUAUCACUUGCAGGAGACUUCUUACUUCUUUCACUAUGCAUUAGUGACAAAUUACCUUUUCUUGAAGCGUCUAAAUCCCUUGCACGAGACUUGUUACUUCUUUCACUAUGCAUUGGUGACAAAUCACCUUUUCUUGAAGCCUCUGCCUGACAUUGCUUUAAUAUAUCAUCUUCCUCCCCUUCUUUAUAUAUAUGUCUACCUGUAAAUAUUGAAUUUGGCAUCUCUUGAAAAUCGCUUUAUGUUAUCAAUGAUUUUUCAGCUUGUACCUUACCUAUAACUGCCUUGUUUUGUCAUUGUUUUGCGAUUUGUUCCUGCUCAUGUUCCCACAACCUGUACUGGAAUUAUCAUGAUUUAAAGCGUUUAGUGGAUCUGUACUUUGCAUCGCAUCCAAGAGUUGUCUUUCUUCUAAAGAGAUUACUGGAGCAGUUGUUACGAUGUAGUGCUGCCCCGCCUGUGAACAUGCUACUGUGUUGCAAUCAGCGGAAGGAGCGUUAGUUGGUGUAGUUGCAUCCCUUUGCUGAUUCUGUAUAAUAUGACUCGUAACCAACGGUUGCCUCAUUCCAUCGACAAGUUUCCUCUCCUCGAAAUUAAUGGGUGGCUCAGUUGUUACAAGCUGAUUCUGCGCAGUUUUUGGCAGCACUGUUGUGUUUCGAUCAGCAGCUGCUGUUUCAGCUGAGUGUUGGUUUAGUUGGACGUUAUAUCCUGUUGCAUUUUGGUCGAAAUUUGGUGUUACUGCAUUUGAAAUUACUGCUUUUGCAGUAUUUCUUGGAACAAAAACUGGAGCGUUAUGGUUCAACUUACUGUUGGGACUUGCUGCAUUUGUCGCAGUAGCAUGACAAUUCAGAUUGGUCGUUUGAAAUGUUGUAGGUUUCCCUUGAAAUUUUUGUUUGAUUGGAGCAUCAAUGUCCUCUCCUUCACUAUCCUGAUCAACUUCUUGGUCGUCUCUUCAGAUGAAAAACCAGCAACUCCGUCACCUCAGACCUCAUCAUCAUCAAACUCUCAUUGGUCUUUCCACAGUUUCGAGUUAAUGACCAUCUCCCUCAUCUUAGCUUGAAUUAUUUCUUUGUUUUUGCCAAUUGAUAUUGACGGUUGCCCAUAUUCAGCUCCAUGCUCGCCUAUUGACUCACAAGAUUGAGUCAAUGUGACCAAUGAUUGCUUGAACAUAUGGUUGGCAUCGGACAUCAUUUUAAUCUGUGAAUCAUUGAUAAUUUUCUCCACAUGUGGACUGGAGAAAUGAGUCGAGGGAGCAUUUUGAUCCUUGGCCUACAUUUGCCUAUUUGGAUCAUUAACAGGAUCCUUAUCCAAUGCCGCUGUAUUCGAUGAGCUAUUUUGAUAAUAACUGUCUACCAUCUGCAGAUUCUCUCUAGUGAACUUCUCAUCAUCUUCAUUCUCAUUGCCAAGUGCAGCAAAUGAGUUUGGAUUUUUUGUUACACCUGGACACUUUUCUGCAAUCUGAUGUUUUUUUUUUUGCUUAUUGGAGUUCUUUUUUUGUUGGAAACAGAUGUCAAAUUAUCCUUAACAAUAUGUUGUCCAGCUUCCCUUGUGUGUUGUCUAGCAUGAGAAGGUUUUGAUCUCUCAAAUUCAGCCCCCUCUAAAGCAAGCUCACCUUGUACUAAGGCAACAUUAGAGACAUCUGUAGCAGCUGUACCUAUAGACAUAGUCACACUAUGUUGUUUUUGAACUAUAUCGAGCUCACCUUGUACUAAGGCAGCAUUAGAGACAUCUGUAGCAGCUGUACCUAUAGACAUAGUCAUACUGUGUUGUUUUUGAACUAUAUCUGGCUUUGCUGUUCUUUGAAGCAGUUUAAUCACAUCAUCCUUGUUAUCACUCCCAGUUACAUCUCGAUCCUCAGGACAGAUAGGAACUGCAACAGCUGGCUUUGUAUCUACUAUGCAGAUGGUAUUCCUGUUACCCUUUGUUAAUGAUGCUGCAAGCUCCAAUUCCAUAACAUCACAGUGAUCUCUCACCUCUUCAUUUUUCCCAGUCCAUUUAAAGCCAUCAAAUGAUAUUACAUUUUCCUCCCCUACUACUAGUUGCUGCACAUUGUUGGCAGUAACCAGAGUUGAUGACUUAUUCAAUUCAUUACUUCCUUGUUGUCCAAGAAUUUUUUAGGCAUGAAGCAGCUUUGGCAGUGUUGACUUCUCCACUGGUUCAACUGAUACAACAGUUGGUUCCUGCACAAAGAGGUCUAUCAAAAACUGGUGUGUCCUUAUUGCAUUUUCACCUGUUGUUACACCUGAUGCAGCAGUAGGUUUCAAAUUUGACACCAUCAUAUCUGACUGUUUUUCAGUUAAAACAUUCAUAGGAACAUGCAAUGGAACAAUAGUUGGCCCUUUACAAAGCUAUGCAACAUCAGCAUUUGGUAUUGAAAGAGGUGCAGCAGCUGGAACAAUUGAAAAAGACAAAUUUGUUUAUCCUGCAUUUACCUCCCCUGCUACUAGGUGCUGCACAUUGUACUUGUAAUGCUGUCCGUUACAUAUUUCAGUUAUAUUGGAAGGAUUGGCAGUAACCAGAGUUGAUAACUUAUUCAAUUCAUUACAUCCUUGUUGUCCAGGUAUUUUGAAGCAUGAAGCAGAUUUGGCAGUGUUGACUUCUCCACUGGUUCAACUGAUACAACAGUUGGAUCUGUAGAAGCUUUCAAAGUACCAGAAGCCUCCAAGUUUGUACCAUUUCCCUGACCAAACCAUGCACUUUUUUGAUUCCUAUUAUUUUGCAAUAAGUGCUGCUGCUCGAUGAAUUUAUCCUGCAGAGGUCUAUCAACAACUGGUCUGUCCUUUUUGCAUUUUCACUUGCUGUUACACCUGAUGCAGCAGUAGGUUCCAAAUUUGACACCAUCAUAUUUGACUGUUUUUCAGUUAAAACAUUCAUAGGAACAUGCAAAGGAUCAGUAGUUGGCCCUUUACAAAGCUGUGCAACAUCAACAUUUGGCAUAGAAAGAGCUGCAGCGGCUUGAACAAUUGAACAAGAGAAAUUUGUUUGUCCUGCAUCAUCAAUCACAUUAGGUAGUACCCCUUCAAUUCGACGUCCUGCAAGAUUAGCAUCCAAGUACUCCCUAGCGUCACCUCCUAAUUUAGCCAAACUGCCCCGGCCUUCAGGUUCGUCAACGUGAACGUGUUCUUUAUUAAAUUCCUGUGUACUCCAACGACACGAUUUAACAUCAUGACCUUGAUGAUUGCAACACGUGCAGUAUUUAGGUAGAUUAUCAAACAUGAUCUGCUGGUCGUAUUCAACUAUUUUUCCAGAUUUCAUAUCUACUAUCUUGAUCUUGAUUUUCUUUGGAUGUUUGUCCAGUAGAUUAAUCAAGACUUUAACUCGUGCCGUACUUGGUCGUGUUCGAUCUUGAGUAGCCUUAUCUACUGCCAGAGGCUUUCCCACAGCAGAUGCGAUGGACAUUAACGACUUUUUUGCGAAGAAAUUUGCUGGCACUUCAGGAAACAAAAUCCGAGUCACAGCUUUUGACGUUUCUUCAUGGGGGUUAAAUCCCAAUGUCCAUAGGAAUGUCCUAAAGAAGAACUCGUCUCCUUUUGCCUUAACAUAGCCAGUUGUUUUUGAUAACGCAUGAGCAAAAUCUUCAAAUAGAUCGAAUCUUACCAGAAUAUGCCGAUAUUCUAGCUGUCCAAUGUUGCAAUUACCUUUGACGUCGAAUUGUUUCGGCAAAAUCUGUCUCAGCUCCUGAAGUUCUGGCUUUCCAUAUGAAAAUUUAAUUAUAACUGCUUGUUGAAGACCUUCCUCCCUAGUGAAUGAAUUCACUUCAUUUACUAUGAACUCAAAAGUAGGUAUCCCAUGCUCAAACGUAACGGGACAAAGUUCUAUUUUUGAGAAUUUUGCGACAGAUUGUUGUCCAGCAAGUUGCGAUGCAUAUGUUUGUUUUGGAUCGUGAUUAAUUUGGUUUUCUAUAUUGUUAUGAAAAACCUCUCCCACAGCCAGAGGCUGGGGAGAGGGCAUAGCAUCCAUGGUUGCGUUCUACUUCAAACACAUUCCAUCAUAUCCACGCUAUGAAAGAGCAAAAUCGCUGGAAAAUUUCGAAGAAGCUGUAUGACAGUGAUUCGUCGAAAUUAGAUUUAAGAUGUAGGGAAAUUGGUUAUAGAUUUGAGGUAAAAAUCAAUUGGGAUUGGUCACAAAGAUAAGGGGAUGCUGUGACACCAAAAGUGUGACAAUCCACCGCCAGAUUCCGGAUAUAUGCCCGAUGAAUAGUGGCGGAAUCACUAUUCACCCUUCUUCCUAGAGAGAAGGGAGAGAUUUUUUUUAGAGAGAGAUUAGAUUGUUUAAAUGGAUACUUGGAUGCAUGUUGACUUUGUACGAGAGUUUAAAUUGGUUUAGAGGUGUUUUUGGUAUUGGUUUGAACAAUGAAUUUGAAUUGGAUGAGGUUAAGAAAAAUUUAAAAGGAUCUUUUGGUUAUAUGUUUAGUAGCUACAUUGAACGUGAUAGGAAAUUUAGGAACUCCCUUAAUUAAUUGAUUAAAUUGAGUUGUGCCAUUUAGUUGAAUUUUCCGUGGCCCUCACAAAUUAGAAAAUACGCAAUUGUCUUAGGUGCGCUAGUUAAAUAAUUUACCUUUUUAAAUUUGGGUGCACAUUUAUGUGACCCAAAUCCAAAUUCCAACAAUAUUAAAAUAUGUCAAAGACCACGGGUGCAUUUAUGUAAUGUGGUUCAAGACGUAUUUUAAUAGUGUUCCAAUUUUCUCUAAAAAAUGAAUUAAAGCGGUUAAAAAGUCAAAAUUUGCACAUAGGUACAUAACUGUAAAAAAUCUAAGCCGAAUAUAACAGUUGAGCGAUCGUGCUAGAACCACGAAACUCGGGAAUGCCUAACACCUUCUUCCGGUUUAACAAAAUUUCUUACUCGGAUUUCUAGCUCACAGACUGUAUUACAGAGUCAAACCUUCCUCGAUUCGGGAUUUUAAACCGGUGAUUUGGGACACCAUUAAUUAUUCCAAGUGGCGACUCUGAAUUCUCUAAAUAAAUAAAUCCAGUUUUGAUGUCACUUUAAGUUAGAAAUAACUCCCUUAUACUACCAUUCGUUGGGUGUGGUGUAAUAAAGAGGUGUGACGUAGAGUCUCACAUAUCAGUACAGAGACGUAUGUAUUUAUCCUCGGGAGGGUGCAGGACUGUUAAGGGUACUUCCCUUCUUGAUUCCUUAUCGUGCGAUUUGAUUCCCGUGAGGCUUAUGCCUUUAAUUCCUUCCUACUCAAUCUUAUGCGACAUAAAGCGCUUGUUAUAAAUCAAGAAUUGAAGAAUUGUAAUGGCACUACGAAUAUGGUGCGGGCGUUUCUCCUUGUGGGUUAUUUGAGCCAUUAUCGUCGCCUUGUGGAAGGAUAUUCUAUUGUUUCGGCUCAGUAGCAAUACUUUUGAGAGCCUUGAGGCUAGGCACAAGUUGCCAUGAUGCUUAUGAGAAAUUAUUUCGCAGUAUUAUUAUGAUGGUAGGAUGAUUGCCUGCCUGUCGAGGCGUUGAAUGACUUGAAUGGGAGGUUUGCUCAGUGCAUAAUCUAGAGAUUCGGUGUUUUAUUCCCGGCAGGGGAAAGGCAAUCAGGCAGAGAAUGUACAGGUUUGGGUUUAUGAGGUAUCAAGACUCGGUAUUCGCUAGUGUGGUGGAAGUUUUCUUGUAUAAUAAGGUGUCGUUGUCCCUAUUGAAUGCACUAAAUUCGUCGGUGUUAUGAUCUUCUACGAUUCGCCUUCGGAGCAGAAUAUUGCAUGUCAAUAUUGAAGAAACGCCUAUUAGAUAUCGCGAGGCAAGGUGGUUCCGGGUUGAAUUAGCAUUUAUAAUAUUGGCAGCUCGAGAGAAAUGAUCUCCAGCAAAAUUUAAAGUUAGUAGCGAUUUGUGGAUUCAAGUGCUAUGAAGAUAGAUUUUAUUGAGGCAACAAUUGAGUAGCAAAUGAUGAGGGAAGAUGUGUGGAAAGUGUAAGACAAUGGCUAAAAUUCCUAGAAGGCUAGGUGUAUGAAGCAAAGGUCAAGUAGUUGAUUAACGAAGCGAGUUUGGCCAAAGUGGGAGAGUGGCAGAGCUGCAUAUGGGCUUCGUAGUAGGAUGAUCACGUACCUUAAGGAGAGUUCGGAGGGAUUUGAGAAUAUUAACUGAUUGGUGAUUGGGGUCUACGGAUUUAUAUCGAAGUAUAGGCUAUUAUGAGGCAGGAGACUUGGUAUAACAGAAAGGAGAUGAUUGAAAUGAAGAAGGAUACAACGUAACUUUGAAUAGGAAGGAUGCUGCCGCACAUUUAAUUGAUGUCCACAACGGGUGAAAGGACUUAUGCAGCUAGAAGGAUUAACUCGGAUUGAGGAUGGGUUAUUGAUGUCAUGGUGAUUGUACCCUGUGCAGCAACGAUGGAAGAUGUCGGAAGGUGAUUUCCAUAGGUGGGUUAUUCCCUGUGAGCAAGUUAGCUGUCACAUACUUGGUGAGGCUUCUACGAAGAAUUCUAAUGGUUAUAAAGCGAAGGAAUCGAUCAUGCAAAUGUUAUUGAUGAUUCAGAGUAUAAAAAAGGGAUUUCCACAGCAAGAUAUCAAGGAUUUUGGGUACAACGUGUAGUGAUUGAUAUGGUGAUCUUAUGUUGGAAAUAGGUCAGGCGUAGAAUUUCGGAUGUUAGAAUUGGGCUUUAACUUCAAAAUUGAUCAAGCUGAUGUGCUCAACUAAGUUGUGGUAGCAUGGGAAGGUGUUUGAGAAGUUAAAUAGUGAUUUCAAACUACUUCCGUAUAGUUCUCAGCACGUUCGAGGACGAACUUAUGUUUAAGUGAGAGAGAAUGUAAUGACCCGACAGGUCAUUUUGAGCUCUAGCAUGUCGUUUAGCAGUCAGAGGCCAUGAACAACUUUAUUUCAGGUAUUAUGACUUGUACGCAUGGUCGGAAUUAAGUUUCAGGAAGUCCAGAGUUGAUUUGAAAAGAGAAUUCUCAUUUAGGAACCUUAAAGUUGAAAGAAUUAAUUAGGAUUAAAAUUUUAAGUAAAUGAACUCGGAAUUGGGAUCUGAAGGUUCCAGCAGGUUCAUACGAUUAUCUCGGACUUGGGCGUAUGCCCGGAUUGAGGUUUGGACAACCCUGGAGUGUUUUGGCGCCUAUUGUGGAAAGUAGCAUUUUGAAAGAAAUUUCAUAAGUUUGGGUUGAAGUGCAUUUCAGUGAUAUCGAUGUCCGUUUGGGAUACUGAGUCUGAGAGAAGCUCCGUAUUGUAAUUCUAGAGUUAGGAGCGCGAUCGGAAAUGAAUUCUGAGGUCCGUAGGUCAUUUUGGAGCCAUUUGGCCAAAGAUAUAAAUUUAAAAGUUUUUAAGAAGUUUGACAGAAGUGGACUUUUUGAUAUUGGGGUCGAAUGUUGGAGUAGGAUCGUAUUGUUGAAUAUGACUUGUGUGCAAAAUUUGAGGUCAAUCGGACGUAAUUUGAUAGGUUUAAACAUCAAAAAUAGAAGUUUGAAAUUCUAAUGUUCAUAAAGAUUGGAUUGGAGGUCGAUUUGUGGUUUUAGCGUUUUUUGAUAUGAUUUGAUAGAAGUUAGAAAUUUCAAAGUUCAUUAAGCUUGGAUUAGGGGUUGAUUUAUGAUUUUAGCAUUGUUUGGUGUGAUUUGAGGCUUUGAGCGAGUCCGUGUUAUGUUUUUGGACUUGUGCGGGUGUUUGGUUUGAAGCCCCAAGUGCUCGGGUGUGGUUUAGGAUAGCUUUGGAGUGAUUUGCUAAGAAAUAAGAUUGCUGGUGCUGGUAUGAUCGCAUUUGUGAUUCUUGGGUUGCAAAUGCAACAUCGCAUUUGCGAGCCUGGGCUCUACGGGAAAAGGUCGCAAUUGCGAUGUAUUGGUCGCAAAUGCGAGAAAGCAUUUGUAAGAUCUUGUUCGCAUUUACGAACCUGGGUGGCUGAGGGGUCGUUUGCGUUUGCGACAUUUUGGAUUGCUUUUGCGAGGCCUAAAGGGUUCGUAUUUGAGAAACCCUUAUCGUAUUUGUUACGUAGUCCAAUUCGGUCGGGGUUCGCAUUUGCGAAUUCGCAUUUGCGAUCCCCCUGUUGCAAAUGCGACAUCUGAGGGUUGUGUCCAGUUAUUAAGUCUGAAACGUAGCCCAUUUCCCUCAUUUCCCACUUGGCCUUAGACAAUUUUUGAGAGCAUUUGAGGAGAGAUUCCGUCAUCAUCAAAGAGGCAAGUAAUUUCUACGCAUCUUAAGUUAAAUACAUAGAUUAUGGGUAAAUUAACAUGCAAAAAAUUAAGGAAAAUGAAGGGGUUUAGAUGAAAACCUAGAAAAUAGAUGUUAUUGGCAUUUGACCACGAUUUUAGGUAUGAAAUUUAGAGUAGAUCAUAUAUUUGAGCUCGUGAGGUUAUGAGUAAACUUAUUCUUCAAAAUUUUUGGAAAUCCAGGCAUGUGGGCCCGAGGGUGUUUUCGUCAACUUUUCGAUUGCGGUUAUGAAUUGUUGUGUGUUGGGUUGUAUUGAAUAAUUAAUGGGUUAUAUAACUAUUGGCUAGUUUUGGAGCAUUCUUGCAUUUAUUUGAGUCUUCGAAAGGGCGUGGAAUGCCGGUUACGGAAUUUUGGAGCGAGGUGAGUCUCCUUUCUAACCAUGUAAGAGGGAAUUGUCCCCAUAGGUGAGCUAAUUGGUUAUGUGCUCCUAUAUACGUAUGCACGAGGUGACGAGAGUCCAUGCGUAGCUACUAUUAUGCUAUUGUACGGGUAGUCUAGGAUCCAAAAUCAUGCUAUACUUGGAUUGUUUGUAAACUUAUCGACAUUUGAAUUGCUUAAAUCACCUCGAGUUAGUAAAUGAAUUUCCACAAAAGAUUAAACUUCAUUUUCAAAAAUCUUUAUAAAAGAAUUGGCUUAUCUGUGGAAAAUUUUCCUUGUUGACUACUUGAUUGAUCGUCUGUGUGUGUUUAAUUUUGGAACGGGCCGAACGCCUCAGAAGAUUUAAUAGAUGCAUCUAUAGGCACGUCGUCGACCCUCCGAAAGUGCACAGUUUUAUUUUCUGUUGGAGCGGGCUGUACGCCUCGGCAUGAUUUGCGCAUGCUUGUAUUGCUGCUUUGAACUUAUUAAAGUUGUUAUUGCCUCUUCAUGGCUUGAGAAUAUUUGGAUAAUAAAGAAAGGGAAAUUUUGGAAGCCAUUGGAGCCGGCGCCGCCGUGGACGGCGGAGCAGCCGCUCCUUUGGAAUAAUGAAAAAAGAGAUUCUGGAAAUUUUCUAUAAAAGGGAAUAAUUGGUUACUUGUUUUUCUUCUAUUUGGUAAAAAUCAUGUUUGCAGAAAUUCACGAUUUAAUGUAUUAUUGAUAUCAUUAUUGGACCACUAGUAAGUGUUGAAGUUGACCAUCUCGUCUCUACUUCUUCGAUAUUAGACGGGAUACUCAUUCAGUACAUGUUGUUUUCGUACUCAUACUACACUUCUGUGCAUUUUUGUUGCACAUGUAUAUGUAACUCUAGCGGCCAACUAGGCGUAGCAGCAUGGAUGAUUCUGGGACUAGGUGAGUUGCAUUAUCCGAGACAGCCGUAGCUAGUACAGUCCCUUCAAGUAUACUGCAUUUACCUUUUGUCCAAUGUAUUCUGAACAGAUGUUGUAUUUUAUUUCCUUAUUAGUAGAUGCUCAUGCACUUGUGACACCGGGUUCUGGGAGGAUUUUGCGAGAUUAGACGGGAUACUCAUUGAGUACACGUUUUUUACGUACUCAUACUACACUUCUGUGCAUUUUUGUUCACAUGUAUAUGUAACUCUAGCAGCCUACUAGGCGUAGCAGCACGGAUGAUUCUGGGACUAGGUGAGUUGCAUUAUUCGAGACGGCCGCAGCUAGUACAGUCCCUUCCAGUAUACUAUAUUUACUUCAUGUCCACUGUAUUCCGGACGAAUGUUGUAUUUUAUUUCCUUAUUAGUAGAUGCUCAUGCACUUGUGACACCGGGUUCUGGAAGGAUUUUUGGAUUAUUAAAUGUUAUGUUUGUUAAAGAUUUCGCGGUUGUUUCUGUAAAUUUUAUUAUUCGUUAUUUAAUGUGUAAAGAAACAUGAUUUUUGAUAAUACGAAAAAAUUAGAAUUUAAUUGAGUAUUUUGGUUGGCUUGCCUGACUGUGGUGUUCGGUGUCACCACGAUCCUUUUUCGAUUUUGGGUCAUGACAAAAAUAAAUAAAAUAAUCCCAUUUCGAAUAAUGUCACUUAAAUUUUAAAAACUCCUUUAUACACUAUCAUUCGGGGUGGUGUGUAAGGUGUGUAAAAAAUAAGGUGUGACAAUAAUCCACGUAUAGCCCCUCAUUGAGGAGUGAUUACCAGAAAUUGUGUGGAGUGAUCCAUAUUUUUAAUACAGCUAGGAACCCUCCCCCUUUUAUUCUUCAUUUCUUUUCUUUCAGCAUUUUAACUCCUUAUUUUUUUAAAAAAUUCGGUCUUUUUCUAAUUGUGCUUUUAAACUGUGUUUAUUUCAAGUCGUUAUGUGUUUAAUCGCCUCUUAUUUGAGCCUUAUUUGCCAAUAUGCUAAUUUCACCUCAAUUCACAAUAAUUGUCUGGCCGGGAACCACACUAGUACAUUCUGAGGGGUUCCUAACACCUUUCCCUUAGAAUAAUUUCCAGCCAUUACCCUAUCUGUGGUUAUUUAAAUCAAACUCUUUUGGUGACCUAAUGCACCCUAAUCAUUAGGUGGCGACUCUUUAAAUACAAAACCCAGUUCCCAAAAGGAAUGAGUUGUCCUUCAAAUGUCAUAAACCCGAUUUUCGGAGAGGAAAAAGGGGGGCAUGAUAGCAUAACGACUCUGCUAGGGAUUUUAGGAUUUUACCAUUUCAUACUAUUAUUAUGAAUUUAUGCUUCUUUAUGCAUAAUUAUUUUUAUUUAUUUUAAGCAUUCAAUUUCCUUCUCAAUUGCAAAACCGACUUGUCUUUUGUCUCUUUCCUUUAUUGCUUUCCUUCAUUGCCGCUUUAAAUUAUGAAAUUAUUGUAUUUACUGCUUUCUUAAACAUGAAAAUACGUGACGACAUGCUUUUAAUUGUUGCAUAAUCAUGCUCAACAUCAUAUUACUGUGCCAAACAAAAGCAUAUUGCAACGCUUAUAAUGAGUGGGUGCACUCUUCCGAUAUUGUCACCCCCAAAAUCCGGAAAAGACACAUUUACAGUAAAACCAGUCGAUCAACGGUGUAAUUGACGGUUCCGUGCCUUUCCCCCUUGAGUUUUCUGCUCAAGGGUACCCGAUAGAAACCUUACUCUGUUUAAACUGUGCUUGCAUCACGGUCAAACCUAGUCGAGUUAGUUAUGUUGUCCGCAUAAUGACUCUUUAAGAUAGCCUUGUCCAAAGUCCCAUGGUUUUCCCUAAAACCCAAACAGACAUCAUCACGUUCUCUGCAUUUAUUUGGAGUACUAAAAGCUUUUAUGCUAAUUUUUUAUAUUAAAUAGUCGAGUUCGGUGGGGGUAAGUGUCUAACAUUUUUGUCUUGUAAAAGUAUGAGGCACGAAGUCCCCAAAUUCGGCAUGGUAACCAACAUCCAUCCAAAAUUGCUAAGUUGGUGGGAGGAUCUUCACUCCUGUGAUCAAGCUCUUGUCCGGAAAUAUUUUGGAAACUUACCUUCUCUCCUGGAAAUCCAACCCAACAACAGGAUCAUAGAAGUUGCUAUUUUGUUCUAGGAUUGUGAGAGGCCCGUAUUCUGCUUCGGGGACAUUGAAGUGACACCCUUACUAGAGGAGAUAGGAGUAUUGGCCGGUAUAGCAUGGGAGACUCUGAGUUUGUUAAUGCCUGAGAACCGCAAAGGCAGGGGUUUCCUCAAAAUGAUAGGUUUGAAGAAAAAUCCAAAACUAACAUGUUUAAAGGAAUUGUACAUCCCUUUUGAUAAUUUGUACGAGAGGUACGAUCAUAGCAAAUCCUAUCAUACCUAUCCUGACGAGUUUUCCAUCUCAUCAUUUGGGCAUAUUCACUGAAGGGCCUUUGUAUUCAUGUUUUGCUUCCUGGGAUUGAUCGUGUUUCCAAUGAAAAAAGCAAGAAUCCACACCUGACUAGCUAUGGUAACUAAGACCUUAAUGGAAGGAAUUGACGGGCAACUAUUUAGCAUUGUGCCAAUGAUCAUUGUAGGGAUAUACCAAGCCCUGGAAAAAUGUCAAUAAGGAGUCAAUCACUUCGAAGGCUGCAAUUUGCUACUUCAACUUUGGCUCGUGGAGCAUCUCCAAAAAGGUGAAUGCCGACAAGAAAUUCAGCGAAGGGACUAGGAUGAUCAUAUCAUUUUUCAUCACCCAAAGCAAAUGAAUUACCAACCCAAUAUGUUCGCCUAACAGGAGAAUGCUAGAUAAUGGGUCGAGCUCUUAGAAAAUCUGAUUGAGAACUAGGUACAAUGGAUGUUUGAGUGGUUUCUGACCAAGGAAUUCAUCGCCCGGUCCAGAGAUGCACCUUUCUUGAUAUUGAUCAGUUUAAGAGGAACAUAUCCUUGCGUCCCUCUCCGGGUUAUGAGGCAAGAAGGUAGGAAACAAGUUGUACCCAGGGUUGACAAGAUGAGUCACUUCCGAGAUGACUUUCAGGAUGAUAACAAUCCUUACAAGUGCCAGGCUUAGCAUAUGUGGCACUGCAAGAUCGUUAUGGGUAGGGAUACCAUCGAGCCAGAUAGAUACCACGCCGGUUGUGCUCCCUAUUAUUCAGGCUGGUUGGAGGAUAAGCAUGACGGCCUAGGCUAGGCUAGGUUUGUUCGAGGUCACAGGAUCAUAGAUGAAAAGGCCGAGGCAUAAGUCAAAUUCAAUCAACUACGUAAAAGGAUUCAGGAAUGCGAAAGCGAGCACCAUGAGAUACAAGAAUCCAAUCAAAAGAUAAUUGAAGAAUGGAAGGAUAUGGCUGUCAGUGCAACAAGUGACUGGGAUAUUUGGAGCAAGGCAUAGUGGAAUUGGAGAAGAAAAUUCUCAAGAGGGUCGAAGACUGCCAAAAUGCUGAAGGAAACAAAGGCGGAUAUCUAGCCAGAGCCUACCUAUUGGUGGGACUUCGCGAAUUAGGAAAGUUGUUUGAUGGAGCCAAGGAUGCCGAAUCUGGGGAAGGUCCCUUUGGGACCAAAUAGAUAUGAGUUUUCUUCUUUGAAAUGUAAUAAGGCCAAUGGUCACUAGCAACUUUUAUUUCCUGUUAUCUAGUGUCAAUUUGGGAUUCUUCUAUUUUUAUCAAUAAAAUGAGGCAUUUAGCAUUCCAAGUUCUCCAAAUCAACUUGUCCCUAGGCCUACCUAGGGCAGAAAGAGGCCCCUAAAUUAGGACGCGACUUACAUUCCCACACAAUGUGUUAAAAUAUCGCAACAUUUUUUUAAUCCUCACUAACUUGUUACCUUUUUGUUUAUUAUUUCCCCUCCCCAAAGGUUAGUUCGUGCACUCUAGCAACAUCAUCUUAUUCCACGAGAUCGAGGGGUCCUCCAUCACUCCUCCUGUUAGUCCUAUCAAAAAUAAGGACAAAGGGAAAAUGAAAGAUUUGAACAACGACAGAAAGGAGAACUCAACUGAACGGGUAGAGGUCACUCAUCAUCUUGGUACUUUGGUUCCUAAAGAAAAUGCAUCCCAACUUGAACAAAAGAUGCUGAAAUUCUAAGAAGAACUCGAUCAGGUUCGGAAUCUGGAAAAUCUAUCAUUUUCAAUCACCACUCGAGAUGUUUUUUUCCCAAAUGAUCAGAACUCCACACCACCAAAAAAUAUCCCAAAGCCACAAAACCAUCUCACCACUACUAUAACACCUGCCAUACUUCAAACAAUGCUCCAUUACUCAUCCCAGAGCUUCUAAACUCCACAAAUUACCACUUCCAUACCCACCAUAACACCCCCAUCUAUGUGGAGACUAUGACACAUUCCACCCAACCCAUCUCAAGCACACUCGAUUUUGAUAAUAAAAACUUGUUCAUCAGAAACUUGGCCGAAGAACUUAAGAAAUUGACUAGCCGAAUUCAAGGCGUUGAAGGAAGUAAGGGAAUUGAAGGGCUAAACUAUGAAGAUCUUUGCAUACAAUCGAUGUCGAACUGUCCGAGGGGUACAAACCUCCUAAGUUUGAGAUGUUUAAUGGUAUAGGGGACCUAAGAGUCCAUUUAUGAACGUAUUUUGACAAGCUGGUUGGAGUAGGAAGAGAUGAGAAAAUACACAUGAAGCUUUUCAUGAGGAGCUUGAAGGGAAAUGCUUUGUCUUAGUACAUUAUCCAAGAUCCAAAGAAGUGGUCGAACUGGGUAAGCAUGGCAUCCGAUUUUAUGGAUGAAUUCAUGCUCAACACGAAGAAUGCACCGGAUGUGUUCUAUAUUCAGAAUCUAAAGAAGAAGCCUACAGAAACAUUUCACGAGUAUGCUACUCGCUAUAGGUCCAAAGUUGCUAAGGUUAGACCUGCCUUAGAGGAAGAACAAAUGAACAAAUUCUUUGUCAGGCUCAAGACCCAUAGUAUUUAUGAAAGGAUGAUGAUGAUCGAAGGCAAAUUUUCUGACAUUAUUAGGCUGGGAGAAAUGAUCGAAGAGGGCAUCAAAAGCGGUAUGGUUACGAACUUCAAGGCCUUGCAAGCUACAAAUAAAGCCUUAUAGUAACGAGGUGUGUCCAUGAAUAGGGAUGUAGGAGCUGUAAUAGUGGCACAGAGAACCAAAUCUCCCGUCAAAUACCAAACUUACCCAAUGGCUCCACUCACAUAUCAGCCUACUCCAAAUUACCAAGCACCCUCACCCUCUUACCAAACUCCACCACCCACUUAAAAAUCACCGCCACCUCCCACAUAUCACCUACUUUACCCAGAUAUUCCUAACCUGCACAUGUUUACCAAGUCUACAAUGUUCAACCAUCCCACUAUCUAUCCCCUCCUGCACGCCAAGACUUCCCUAGACCUCGACCGAAUUUUUACCGAAGGCCUCUGAAACAAUAUACAGCUAUUGCUGAACCUAUUAACUAGUUUUAUGAAAGACUCAAAGAUUUUGGUUAUGUCACCCCUAUCCCUGCUACUCCUGAGAACCUUUCUCAGUGGGUUAAUCUAAAUAAAUCAUGUGCAUACCAUUAUGGCAUGAAAGGACAACCAUUGACGAAUGUGGUUCCCUGAAAGACAAGGUCAAGGCUUUAAUUGAUAACAAGAUUAUCGUGGCAAAGGAACUUGCUCCAAAUGUCCGCAGUGAUCCUCUGCCAGACCACAUGGGUGGAGGCAUUCACAUAAUUGAAAUAGAGGAUGACUGGGAUCCCGAGGGAUCGAUCAGUUUGAUCGCAGAGGGUGACGACCCAAAGAAACCAAUAGUCACUCUUAAUCUGAUCGUGAUCCAGAUUCAGCCCUCUAGGGAUGCUGAGUUAAAUAUGUCCGUGCCACUUGAGUUUGAAGCAACUUCCUAUGAAAAGACACCAACAUCAAUUGAGGUCGAAUUUGUGUCUCCAGUAAAUGCACCUACAGCAUUCAAAGUUGCAGUUUUACCACCCCAAAGUACAUGCUCCGUUGAGAGUAAAGAUAGCUAUGCCGAUCCCAAUAACAAUUUCAACCAUGAUGCCAUUCCACAAAAAGGCUAUACCAUAGGACUAUACAGCUUAGGCAAGAAGGAAAAGUAAGGUUAGGUUAGAAGAGGCUAUUGCGGUACAGGGUAUGACGAGAGCUGGUAGAGUUUAUACCCCGGAGCAUCUGGCUAAGUCGAGCAAGAAUGCCUCUAGACAACCGACCAUCACCAAGACCAAGCCAGAUGAUCUUUUGAGAAAGAUAUAGGCCAAGGAAUACUCGAUCAUCGACCAGCUAAACAAAAUACCUACAUGAAUUUCUAUCCUUGCCUUGCUACAAAAUUCUGAUGCACAUAAGAAUGCCCUGUUAAGGGUGAUGAGUGAAGCAUACAUGCCUAGCAACAUCACCGGCGGAGAGAUGUCUAACAUAGUAGGACAAGUAUUAGAAAGUCACAUGAUCACUUUCCAUGAAGAUGAGCAGCCACCAGAAGGGUUGAGUCACAACAAGGCAUUGCACAUCACCGUGCAAUGUGAAGACUAUUUUAUCACGAGAAUCCUGAUCGAUGGAAGGUCCAGCCUUAGUAUUUUUCCGUUGGUAAAACUAUGAAUGUUGGGUAAGAGACUGCACGAGAUAAAUAAUAGAGCCAUAAAUGUGAAAGCCUUUCGCGGUUCCCAAAGGUCACCAUUGGGAAGAUUAGUCUUUGUUUGCACAUAGGGCUUACUUGGUUCGAUGUUGAUUUUCAUGUGAUAGACAUGCCGACAUCUUGCACUCUGUUGUUAGGACGGUUGUGGAUUUAUGCCGAUGGGGUCGUAACAUCAAUACUAUAUCAGGCGGUAAAGUUUGAGUGGAAUCACCAGGAGGUGAUUAUUCAUGGCAACUGUAGCAGUUCUAUAUACAGUCCAUAAACUAUUCCAGCAGCUGGAGGUAGAAGGAAGUUAGGUGGGGAGACCUAUCACCAUAUAGAGCGAGUCAAUGCUGUUGACAACAAGAUCGAGAGCUUAUUGAAUUUGAGUGGAUACGAACCGAGCAAGAGGCUUGGCAAAAACCUCCAAGGAAUCAUUAAGCCAAUAAAGCUCAAGAAACAUGGCACCACUUUCGGUCUGGGAUAUGAGUAUUCUGGGAGGAAUUCAACCACUGGCCGCCACCAUGGCACGGUCCUUACUAUCCACUAGAGCAUCCAAUACCAUGCUUGGAAUAGAGCUUCCAACUGGCCAAUGUUAUCUAUGGGUCAGAAGAAGAUGAAGCACUGGCAACAAUGAAGAAUUUGUUCAUUGAAGACGAUGAUAUGGAUUGUUGUGUCAUUCUCGAGGAUGAGGGAUUAUUACUAGGGAUUUUGACGUGUUUCAUGCUCUUUCUUGCUUACGCUUUGAUUAUAAAUUCUUACGAAAUUGUUCCAAAGGCUCAUAAGUUGUGCUUGAUUGCAGGUUUGAUCGAAAAAGUGAUGAAAUAUCAAAGAUCGGUUCUAAAGGAGUAAAACUUGCUCAAGUGCCACAGACAAAGAAAAAUCAUGACAGAAAGGCCUAGUGCAGCCGCACUACACUUUGUGCGGUCCGCACUAGGGAAUUAGGAGAACUAGGAAAUCGAGCUUCAAAGCAGUGCGGCCAUAUUUGAUCUUGCGCGGUCUGCACUGAAGGUUCCGCGGCCGCACUACUAUUAUGUGCAUUCCACAGAAGAUAAGAUCAAAGAGAUUUAAUUUGACA
rnacentral:lncRNA from 1 species